rnacentral:rRNA from 1 species
AAUGGGAUUCUUCAAGUAAUGGCGAAUGAACCUAGAUAUGCUCAAUUUGAAAAAUACAGUGAUACUGUUUGACAUGUAAUUUCAAAAUGUACAACCAAUUGGCAUGCAAGUGGAAGCUCAUUGAAAGAAUGCGUCGAAGAAGGUGAAAAUCCAUUUUGCCACUUGUAAUGUUGUUGUUUAUGGUGUAUAUUUCAGGAGUCACAUUCCUUGGCAUUGGAAUGCAAUGUGGGUGGUAAACUUCAUGCAAAGAUUAAUAUGUGUUUGAGAUUGAUAGUACACAAAUACCGUGAGGGAAAUAUGAAAAGGACUUUGAAAAGAGAUUUAAAAGAGUUUGCAGUUGCUGAACAAAAAACAAAUAGGAUGUCGACGAUUGAGCAGAUUGUUGAACCUCGGUUUGCUUCAAUUGCUAGCAUGUGUGUAUUCAAUGAUUCUAUCUUUGUCUACCAUACCAUUCUCAGCGUAUCAUGACACUUGCAGGUUUCGUGUUUUUGCUUGCGGGCUAAUGACAACACCUGCUUGAGAAUGGUAUGCCAAGUGUUCAUUGUGCUUAGAGUCUGCAUACUGCUUAUGUUAAGUUGCAAUUCUGAACUUGUGCUUUGAGCUGUGCUUUACCUUCUGCAUAUGUCUAUUGGUGAUCAUAUCCUGCUUGACCCGUCUUGAAACACGGACCAAGGAGUCUAAUAGAUGUGCAAGCUUUGAAACUGCUAUUUUGUUUAAACCAAUGAAAUUAAGAGCUGGGAUUUUUGCACCAGCAACCAAUUGAUUGGUGGGUAAAGCCUUGAGUUGGAGCAUAUUUAUUAGGACCCGAAAGAUGGUGAACUAUGCCUGAAGAGAAUGAAUUCAGAGGAAACUCUGACGGAAGUUCGCAUCAAUACUGACGUGCAAAUCGUUUGUCAUACUUGGGUAUAGGG